AAAUUGAAGAGUUUGAUCAUGGCUCAGAUUGAACGCUGGCGGCAGGCCUAACACAUGCAAGUCGAACGGUAACAGGAAGCAGCUUGCUGCUUUGCUGACGAGUGGCGGACGGGUGAGUAAUGUCUGGGAAACUGCCUGAUGGAGGGGGAUAACUACUGGAAACGGUAGCUAAUACCGCAUAACGUCGCAAGACCAAAGAGGGGGAC
rnacentral:rRNA from 1 species